AAGGGAGGGACAGGCAGUAGAAACAAAAGUGAAACUGUUUGAGCAGCAUAUUCCAGAAGCCUCGAGGUCUUUUGGAGUGUAACCUUCAUUGAUUUGCGAUCUACCAUACCAUUCUCUCACUAGAAGGGAAAAUCUAUAAUGGCAGCAGGCCGUAAAAGAGACCAAGUCUGGGAACAUUUUAAUGAAGUUCCUCUACCUGUGGGUAAGACAGGCAUGUGUGCAAAAUGCAAACAGUGCAACAAAGAAAUGCAAGGCCGGUUGACUGAAUGAAACAACAUCAUGAAGAAGUGUUCCUUCUCAGAAGGAAGCUGUCCUGAGGAUGAUGAAAGAAACAUGUCUGAACAUGCAGGAUCUUCAGGAGAAUCCAUCCUCAACAUACAGGAUUCUGAAGACUCUCCACCUUAAAGAUCACCAUCAUUUUAUAUAGUUUCAGAGUUACCUGCCAAUGAUAGUGUUUCAGUCACAUCAUGUAUGUCACAUAGCCACAGUAUAUUUAUCACCUGUAGCAAAAAGAAAAAAAAAACGCCAUCAUCCAGAAACAAUCAUAGAUAAGAACCAGCAGAUUACAGAAAGAGGUAAUUGAUGAAAAAAUUGCCUGGUUUGUUAAUCAUACGGAAAGGAGAGUUUGUUGCAUAGAGAACCCACACUUCAUUAACAUGAUUCAGUCAUUAAGACCAGAAUAGAUUUCACCCAACAGAGCACAUGUCCCAGGCAAACUGCUGGACUGUGAAUCACCAGUGUAACACUGUUGCAAAAAAAAAUAAAAAUAAAAAAGCAAACAUCAUUCUGGGAUGUAUUAGCAGGAGUGUUGUAAGCAAGAAAAAUUGUAUGAAAGAGAAAUUGAGCAGUGUGCAAAAUGUGAAAUUGUUAACCUGAGUCUUGAUGGGUGGAACAAUGUCCACAAUGAUCCUGUUGCAUGUGCUUGUGUAACAGAAGGGAAUGUCUUCCUUACAGAAACAAUUGAUACAUUAGGAAAUGCACACACAGCAGAAUACUUACAAGAAGUAGCAGUAAAAGCUAUAACAAA